rnacentral:rRNA from 1 species
CACGUAGUUAGCCGGGGCUUCUUCUGGAGGUACCGUCACCCUCUGGGCUAUUAACCCGAGUAGCUUCGUCCCUCCUGAAAGAGGUUUACAACCCGAAGGCCUUCCUCCCUCACGCGGCGUCGCUGCAUCAGGCUUUCGCCCAUUGUGCAAGAUUCCCCACUGCUGCCUCCCGUAGGAGUCUGGGCCGUGUCUCAGUCCCAGUGUGGCUGAUCGUCCUCUCAGACCAGCUACGGAUCGGAGCCUUGGUAGGCCGUUACCCCACCAACAAGCUAAUCCGCCGCGGACCCAUCCUCGGCCGAGGCCGAAGCUACCUUUUCCGACCGGCUCGUGAGCCGGAAGGGCCAUCCGGUAUUAAGUCCGGGUUUCCCCGGGCUAUCCCGGUGCCCGGAGGGCAGGUUAUCCACGUGUUACUCACCCGUUCGCCGCUGUCCCAGGCCGAAGCCCUGGUUCUCGCUCGACUUGCAUGUAGUUUAAGCGGCGCCGCCGACGCCGUUCGGUCCCUUGACGCCGACGGUAGUACAAACC